rnacentral:lncRNA from 1 species
CUGAGCCUCACCUUGAAAGCAUCAUUGAACNUGAUAUGUUUACAACAAGGAAGAAGGUUGGGCUGUCGCAAAGUCCGAAUAAUCUCCAAUUUCAAGGCAUAUGAUGGCAUGAAGUUUUAGUCAAGUAAAGGCUAGAAACAUAAACAGAAUGAAAGUUAGCGGGCAAAGGUCCGUGAUGGUAGCCUUGUCAGCCAUUGAAGGCUUCCAGUUCUCCAUGGUCUUCUUCGAUGGUUGGGUGUUGCCACACUGAAAAUACUCGCAACUAUCAUUCGCUCUUUCCAAACACUUGAAGAAAGGGUGUCUAAAGGUUUGCUGCUUUACUGUGGGUGCACAAAAGAGCACAAAAAUUCCGUUGGUCUUAUAUCUCCCUUUUCAGAACUCAGACCGACGUUUUUUUAAUAGGUGCAUACCUCAUUACAUUUAGAACUCCCAUUUUCUAGAUAUAGUUAAUAACUAAGCUUUCGCCAAGCUAUUCCUGAUAGAGAAGAUUUUCCCCUCAACCCUCCUAAUUUUCCUCUGCCACUGUACCCCAAAAUUCAGCUGAGAAAAAUAAAUAAAUUUCAUCAAAUUUCGUUAUUUACCUUCUUACUCCACACAGAAGGCUUCCUACAAUCUGCAUUCUUUCUUGCAAUGAAAAAUUUAGCCAUCUUUUGGCUAAAGUAAAUGCAGCCAUGGCCUGGAAUACACUUGGUGCAGAACUCCUCAUCCCUUAUAAUUAUAUACAAAGAGUUGUCUGUUUUCUUGUUGUUCAACAUAUUUACUCCGAUGGCUCUAUCCAUGACUUUUCUUAACUUAACUUUCUUGACCUUAAUGAUAAGGAUUUAUUCUUGGGGAUUUAAGAGGGUAUUCCAUAAUUACUGGACUGUGGCCUCCGACUGUUAGCUUUAAGCAAAAGGUUCAUUGAUAUUUUAAAAAAUAUGGACGGUCUAAACUUUUAGGNCAGCAAGGAAAUGUCUGAUGUUUUGCAUCUUCUUCAUUAAUUUCAACUGAG